rnacentral:rRNA from 1 species
AGUGAACGCUGGCGGUAGGCCUAACACAUGCAAGUCGAACGGCAGCACAGUAAGAGCUUGCUCUUACGGGUGGCGAGUGGCGGACGGGUGAGGAAUACAUCGGAAUCUACUUUUUCGUGGGGGAUAACGUAGGGAAACUUACGCUAAUACCGCAUACGACCUACGGGUGAAAGCAGGGGAUCUUCGGACUUUGCGCGAUUGAAUGAGUCGAUGUCGGAUUAGCUAGUUGGCGGGGUAAAGGCCCACCAAGGCGACGAUCCGUAGCUGGUCUGAGAGGAUGAUCGGCCACACUGGAACUGAGACACGGUCCAGACUCCUACGGGAGGCAGCAGUGGGGAAUAUUGGGCAAUGGGCGCAAGCCUGAUCCAGCCAUACCGCGUGGGUGAAGAAGGCCUUCGGGUUGUAAAGCCCUUUUGUUGGGAAAGAAAAGCAGCAGGUUAAUACCCCGCUGUUCUGACGGUACCCAAAGAAUAAGCACCGGCUAACUUCGUG